rnacentral:rRNA from 1 species
CCUACGGUGGGCAGCAGUGGGGAAUAUUGGACAAUGGGCGAAAGCCUGAUCCAGCCAUGCCGCGUGUGUGAAGAAGGCCUUCGGGUUGUAAAGCACUUUCAGUGGGGAAGAAAGCCUUGGGGCUAAUACCCUCGAGGAAGGACAUCACCCACAGAAGAAGCACCGGCUAACUCCGUGCCAGCAGCCGCGGUAAUACGGAGGGUGCGAGCGUUAAUCGGAAUUACUGGGCGUAAAGCGCGCGUAGGCGGUCUGAUAAGCCGGUUGUGAAAGCCCCGGGCUCAACCUGGGAACGGCAUCCGGAACUGUCAGGCUAGAGUGCAGGAGAGGAAGGUAGAAUUCCCGGUGUAGCGGUGAAAUGCGUAGAGAUCGGGAGGAAUACCAGUGGCGAAGGCGGUCUUCUGGACUGACACUGACGCUGAGGUGCGAAAGCGUGGGUAGCAAACAGGAUUAGAUACCCUAGUAGUC